rnacentral:tRNA from 1 species
GCCCCAGUAGCUCAGCGGAUAGAGCAGCCGCCUUCUAAGCGGCCGGCCGCGGGUUCGAGUCCUGCCUGGGGUACCA